rnacentral:rRNA from 1 species
UACGGAGGGUGCGAGCGUUGUCCGGAAUCACUGGGCGUAAAGGGCGCGUAGGCGGCGCGGGUAGUCAUCGGUGAAAGUUCAGGGCUCAACUCUGAAUCGGCCGGUGAUACUCCCGUGCUCGAGCACUGUAGAGGCAGGUGGAAUUCCGGGUGUAGCGGUGGAAUGCGUAGAGAUCCGGAAGAACACCGGUGGCGAAGGCGGCCUGCUGGGCAGUAGCUGACGCUGAUGCGCGACAGCGUGGGGAGCGAUCCGG